rnacentral:lncRNA from 1 species
CCGUGUUCCUUUGUUAGGGCUGCAUCCAGCCCUAGUGAGAAGAUCAGCCUUCCAUGAAGUCGUGGGCGACAGCAGCAGUGGCACAGCAGUGGGCUCCCAUUUCUUCCUUUUCUUCCUUCGGCGACUUCCCUCGAAAAUUCCCUCUCAACACUUCAUUAUUUUUUUCUUUUGGGAAGUCAUUCCCGAAAUGCCCAAGAAACUCUUCUCCCUCCUCUGUCUUCUGUGGGAUUUUUGCCUCCGAAGAGCUUCAUUCAUGGGGUCCGUCUCCUCCCCUUUUGUGGGAUUUUUGCCUCCGAAGAGCUUCAUUCAUGGGGUCCGUCUCCUCCCCUUUU